CUCCAGGGUUCUACUGCUUUUAUACUUAUAUACAUAUAUUUUUUCAAUAUGAUUAAAAAAAAGUAAAUCAAAGAACCUUAUGGAAAUUCAUAAUUAAUAUGCUUUAUUUCGGACUGUGUCUUCCGCCAAAAAGUAGUUCCACAACAAGUGAACUGUAACAGAACUACAAAACAGGUUACGGUUUAUACAGGCUAACAACACAAACGUUAGCUUGAAAUCAAACUUGGGAAUAAGCAAAAAUGGGUCACGAAGACCACCAAAGUGCUGUAUGGGUACAGAUAAAGGCAUCAUCUUCAAACCUCAACUGCUCCCUAAACCAAACCUGAGAGGGGGCAAAUGGCAUUCAUCCAUAAACACCAUCCAGAAAGUAGAGGCGGAAGAGGCAGACCAUCAGAUUCAGAUCCGACAAUGGGGUGAGAAUGGACUUGACACGCCUCCACAGAGCAAGCCAAUCCCUAGACCCCGUCUACACAAACCCCGCCUACUUCAGAACACCUCGUCCCGACCUGAUGAAGAUGACCCAUCUACCUCAAGCAGCCCUGCCUCAGACUAUUCUUCUGAAUCAGACAUGAUUCCGUCUGCUUGCCCACUGUCCUGCCCCUGUGUUUGUCAUUGCCAUGCCAGUAAACAUGGAUCAAUCCAUGGCCAACAUGACCUCCAUCAAUCUGAAACAUCUGAUUAUACAGACAGGGAGUAUUACAACCAUCAGCUGGACACCUGGAGCAUCAAACACCAUCAAAAACCCAGAAGAGUUCCUCCUAAUGUACCUGUUCCCCCAAGACCCCUUCCUAAAAAGCCCCAUCGGAUCAUUACAGCAGAUGAAGUGGAAACUACUGACCGUAACAUUAUGAACGGGGUUUAUGUGGACAUUGAUGUUAAAUCACAAGCAUUGGCACUGGCACACAGCCAGCCGGGUAACGAGUGUGAAUAUACAUAUUUUGAGGAGACAUCUCCUCCAUCAAAGCCUGUUCCAGCUGUGAGGACACGCCAUAAAGAUCAGUUUCCAUCCCAGAGGCCGACUAAACAUCUGGACACUGACCGUGUGAUCUUGGACAGUCUGAAGAGUGAACUCUGCCGGAUACUAUCGAGUGAAAACCAGGAAAACGCUGAGAACAUUCCUAAGCCCAGAGCGAUGAAGAAUGCUUUCGUCAAGUUCACUCAUCAAGUAUUCUCCAAAAGCAUGUCUCAGUCCCCCAGCAAACAGAAGAGAGUACAGCUGGAUUUAGACCAAUCAGAGAACAAAAAACACACCAACGAAGGAGACCAAGACAAUGGAAUCCCAGCAGAAGAUGCACCAAGACCAGUAAAGCCCAAAAAAUCAUCAAUUAAAGACAAAUCUGAACCUGUUAUAGAGCAGAUCAUCAGGAACCUAUCAAUAUCUAAACCAUCAAAGAUCUGGAAACUAGCAAAAUCCCCUGAACCACCCCCUAUAGCACCAGAGGAGCAGGACACUGAAGACCACUCACAGAUAAAGAGUAAUCAGAGAGAUAAUAAUAAAUCCAGCUCUGGGCUGCUGGAGAGGUUCUGGCAUGAGCGUUCGCUGGUGAAAGACAGUGGGAUCCUGGAUCAGUUCACCAAAGAGGAGAUUUUACUUCAGGAGAGUAUGUAUGAGGUGGUGAUCACUGAGCAGUCCUAUCUGGAUGGGCUGGCUGUAGCUGUGGAACAUUUCCAGGAAUGUGCAGAGCUGAAGUCGGCCAUGGAGCCCAGAGACCAAAAAGCUCUUUUCUCUGGAAUCAGCAAGAUCAGAGAGAUCAGCCAGACCUUCAUGGACGCAAUGGUGCAGAAGUUGGAGUCCAGUUUGCUGUGUAAUGCUGUCUGUGAUGUGGUGCAUCAUUACGCCAGUGGGCCGUUUGGUGUAUAUGUGGACUACAUCCGCAACAUGCCAUACCAGAAACAAACUCUAGCCAACCUGAGGAAUGAGAGUGCUGAGGUUGUGGAGAUUCUGUGUAAGCUACAGGACAACCCCUGCUGUAACCGCCUGCCCCUCGACUCCUUCCUGUCGCUGCCUUUCCAGAGGAUUCCCCGCCUCAAGAUCCUCAUGGAGACUGUCGUGAAGAGGACAGGUCUGGCGUCAGAUGUCCGAGUAAUUGCAGAAAGAGCGCUGAAGGAAAUAUCUAAGGUGGUGGAGGAGUGUAAUAGAGAGGUGGAUAAGAUGAAGAAGAUGGAGGAGCUGGUGCUCACUGCCAACAAAAUAGAGUUUGAGUACAAGGCUGUGGCUCUGGUGUCGUCUGCCCGUUGGUUGGUGAGAGAGGGGGAUGUGGUUCAGCUCUCAGUGAAGGAGAAUAUAUUUGGUCAGAAGAAGAUCUGCCCACUCCACCUCUUCCUGUUCAACGACCUGCUGCUGCUCGCCACCAGGAAGGGAUCAGACAGGUUUGUAGUGCAGGAUCAUGUUCACCGCUCUCUGGUUGAAGUGACGGCAGGAGCUGAGCUGGAUGAAGAUCUGGACGGAUGUGAUCUGAGCAGAGUGUUUCAGCUGGAUCUUGUAAAGAACCACAGAGGAACCCUGUCCCAAUACUUACUGCAGACCUCCACACAAGAACAGAGGGACAGCUGGCUGGAUGUGCUCAGUAAUCAGAAGAGUGAGGAGGAGACGGUGUAUGAAGAGUGGGAUUGCCCUCAGGUGCGCUGCAUCCAGGUGUACCAGGCCCAGCAUCCAGGUGAACUUAGUCUACAGAGGGACGAGCUACUCAACAUCAUCCAGAAAACAACAGAUGGUUACAUGGAGGGCCAGAGGCUGCAGGAUGGGCAGAGAGGCUGGUUCCCCGCAUUCUGUGUGGAGGAGAUCUCCACUGAGCAUGUGCAAAGACGACACCUUCGAGAACGCUACAGAGUCCUGCAGGCUGCUGAUCGCAUCCUAAAGCGCUACAACACCACCAAAAACUGCCAGACCAACAUCUGCUUCAAAUAACAGAGAGAUAAUAGAUUUUGCAUCAAUUAUGGAUUUGAAAACUGAGCACUGAGCCAUAACUGUAUUAAAGGGAUGUUUCAUUCUUACAUAUAACUGUGAAAGCAUACUAUAUAGACAAAAGUAUUGGGACAGCUCAUUUUAUUCAGUACCAUUCUCACAGCUGUGUACAAUUAGUCCCCCAGCCAUGCAGACUUUAAAAACAUUAGUGAAAGAAUUGGUGGAGCUAAAGCAAUCCUGUGAGUGUAAUAUAUAUACUUAUAGUAUAUCUCUUAAAUAAAUCUCUGUGAGAACAAGUUAGACCUACA
ensembl:lncRNA